AAACAUGUCUUUUUGAAUUAAAUUUAAAGUCUGACCUGCCCACUGAAUAAUUUUAAAUGGCCGCAGUAUUUUGACUGUGCAAAGGUAGCAUAAUCAUUAGUCUUUUAAUUGGAGGCUGGUAUGAACGGUUGGACGAAGUAUAAGCUGUUUCAUAUAAAUUUAUAAUAGAAUUUUAUAUUUUAGUUAAAAAGCUAAAAUUUUAUUAAAAGACGAGAAGACCCUAUAAAUCUUUAUAUUUAAUAUAAACUAAAUUUUUUUGAUUUAUUUUAUUUCUUUUAUAUUAAUUAUUUUGUUGGGGUGAUAUUAAAAUUUAAUGAACUUUUAAUUUUUUAAAAUCAUUAAUUUAUGAAUUAUUGAUCCAUUAAUAUUGAUUAUAAGAUUAAGUUACUUUAGGGAUAACAGCGUAAUUUUUUUUGAGAGUUCAUAUCGACAAAAAAGUUUGCGACCUCGAUGUUGGAUUAAGGUAUAAUUUUGGGUGUAGCCGUUCAAAAAUUAAGUCUGUUCGACUUUUAAAUCCUUACAUGAUC
rnacentral:rRNA from 1 species